rnacentral:rRNA from 1 species
UUGGCGAACGGGUGAGUAACGCGUGAAUAACCUGACUCAAAGAGGGGGAGUAACAACGGGAAACUGUUGCUAAUACCGCAUGAGACCACAACACCGCAUGAUGAAGGGGUCAAAGAUUUAUCGCUUUGAGAGGGGUUCGCGUCCCAUUAGGUAGUUGGAGGGGUAACGGCCCACCAAGCCAACGAUGGGUAGCCGAGCUGAGAGGCUGAUCGGCCACACUGGAACUGAGACACGGUCCAG